CGAUAGAGAGGCGAAUCAUGUCUGGUGUUCCCAUCAAAACGGAGGUAAAGCAGGAGGGGGGUAAGUACGGGGCCACCGCCGCUACGCAGGAGUCGAAGCCCGGCAUCUUCGCCACCCAGGAGACCCUCGGCGACGUCGGCCGGGAAGAUAAGGAAGGCACCUUAUAUGUCUGCGGAAACUGCACGGCGCAGCUCUACUUCAAGCCAGACUCUCGUCUCGUGUGUCCCAUAUGCUCUCACAUCACCGGCGCCUCGACUGUAUUCUACAAAAUCCGGACAGAGCCCACGACGUACGAUACCGUCUGAGGUAGUGUCGCAGAGACAGAGAGGGCCGAAGUGUCUCUCUCGAGAAAGGACUGUGAAGCGAAGCGGCAGGUGAGGAGGAUGCGUGCUGCAUUGCAGAGGCUUCGAACUCCCGCGCCUGCCUCAUCGCGCCCUUUUUUUCGCUGUGUUUUGCUGUCGGGUCGAUUGGAUUCGAUGGCGCACUGCCUGGCCUGGUCCACGUCGGCCCUUCCCCGUACAUAAACAAGCAAAACGCGCAAGCUCGAUUUCGACACGGUCGCCUCAACAGGGAGGAGGGCUGCAGAAAGGAAAGAGGGAGGCGCCGAUAGGAAGGGUUGUGCGUGUGCUGCCGGCCGACAUGUGGCAGUCGUCAUGGUCACCGCUUUCUGAUGCGCCGUGCUUUUUAGCUGCUCUUCUUCGGUGCUUUCACUGUGGACAUAGGUGUGCGCGUGAAUGUUGCCACAAAUAGCGGCGGCGGGGCAACACUCGCCCCCCCCCCAAACACACACACACACACACCACAUACGCUGCAUGUGCUCGCGCCGUUUCCGUCCUAUAAUGUCUCUCUGUUUCCCACUCUCUCACUCGCGCGCACCGGUGGCAACCGCAUCGGUCCCUACUCUUUUCAAG
rnacentral:misc_RNA from 1 species